UACGUAGGGUGCGAGCGUUGUCCGGAAUUACUGGGCGUAAAGAGCUCGUAGGUGGUUUGUCGCGUUGUUCGUGAAAACUCACAACUCAAUUGUGGGCGUGCGGGCGAUACGGGCAGACUUGAGUACUGCAGGGGAGACUGGAAUUCCUGGUGUAGCGGUGAAAUGCGCAGAUAUCAGGAGGAACACCGGUGGCGAAGGCGGGUCUCUGGGCCGAUACUGACGCUGAGGAGCGAAAGCGUGGGGAGCAAACAGG
rnacentral:rRNA from 1 species